rnacentral:RNase_MRP_RNA from 2 species
UCCUCGCUCAAACAAUCGCAAUCAAAGCUUCCACACCGAAAGGGGGUUCGCUCUCUUUCUGCCUUCACACACAGCUUUGGGAGAAAGUCCCCGGACACGCCAUGGGUUUUCUCGUGGUAUGCGGAAACGCGCCGCCAUAGAUGCAAGCACACCUGCGGCUUACUUGCCUGCCCUUCCUUUUCACUCCUCGAAGAUUGUCCCCAUCGCCGUCUGCACUCUGCAUGUGCGCUGUUGGUUCUCUGUUGCCGGUCCUUCGCUCGGUCGCCUCGCCUGCAAAGGGGAUGAGGAUAUGAGUCCGUGGCCGGGCAAUGGAGGCCUGGCUUCGGGGUCCUUCUGGCGUCGUGAGGAGGAGGCAAUGGGUUCGUCUUGGUAAUCUUGCGGUCUUCGAGUUGUGAGAGUUACAGGUUGGGCAUCUGGCAUCUUCUUCGUCGAGGUCGAAAGAUAUGCGAUUGCCUCUCCUCGAAAGAAGGGAGGUAACUCGAUGGGGCUUAUUCUUGAUGCGAGG